AAAGUCUAGAAGCUAGCAGCUAACAUUUGAACCAGCGUAAUAUAAACUUUAUAUAACAUUUUAAUUUAGAUUGUAUAUUUUAUGAGGUAAUUUUUUUGUAGUUGAGAUAACAUUUUUCCCCACCUUGACUAAUAUUUCUUACUGGUCACUUUAUAUUGUCAGAGAUUUUUUUUUUAUUAUUAAAGAAAUAUAUAUAAUGAAUUAAAACUAAUCAAAUUAUAACAUCGAUAAUAGAUAUUUACUGGGUGUCAAGAAAAUUUAAAUAAUUCAUUAUUAACUAUUAAAAAUUAUCGUGAUUAAAUGUUUAUAUAUUAAUUACUCCAUUUUUUUUUGUCUAUCUCUCUCUAUAAACACGCCCUUUCAUUCCUUGAUGUUGCUUCAUGUAAUUAGGAUUUGCCAUUUGGUCUUUAAACAGAGAGAGAGAGAUGGAGAGGGAGUAUAAAUGCAUUUAUAUACAUGAAACACAAACAAAAAAAAAAGAUUGAAGAAGCAUCCAUAUUUAAUGAUAUCAUGUGAUCAUGUCCAAGAUAAAGAGAGAAUAAGCUAUUAAGUGUACAUGAUUUCAUAAUUAAGGUUGUCACAGCCCACACAUAAAAGAAAGAGAUUACUCAAAUACAUCUCUCUGUUUCUUUUUUCACAAAUCAAAGCCAAAUUAAAGAAGUACUCAACAUAUAUAUAUAUAUAUAUAACAUGUAAUGAACUCGAUAUACUCCAUUUACAUGCUCUUUUUUUGAUAUUUAUGUAGACUCGACAGAUUUGGGAGAAAGGGCAGUUACGUUUCUUGCCGGCGGCAUGGACUUGGAUCUCUUAAACCAUGCAACUCCGUCCGACGACCGGUGAAACUUACACCGGAAAGAUCCUUGAUGUGUUGUUGGGGAGCACAAACACUGCCCUUUUGGUGAACUUACAGGUGCUGAUGAUGACCCCCCACCUUCUUUAGGAGAUGAAGAUGUUGUAACAUUGAUUUUACCAUGUUUAGGAGAUGAAGAUGUUGUAACACUGAUUUUACCAUGAGAAGAGGCCAUAUAUAUAUAUAUAUAUAUAUAUACUUGUAUAUUUUUAUUAUAAUAUAAUAUUCCCUCUCCAAAAACUCAAAACUAGCUAGAGAGAGAGAGAGAGUUGAUCAGUUUUUGUGUAGUGAUGAAGAAGGCUAGCUCUAAAUGGAAAAAGU
rnacentral:lncRNA from 1 species